AUGGCGGUCAACACCGUACAUGUGGUUGGAGCCAAAAUUGCAUUUUUACCAACAUUGCUUUAUAAUCUCAUCCGUUCUCGUAUCGACAGAAAUUGGUAUGACCGGAUUGAUCAUACUAUAGUGCUAGGAGCUUUACCAUUCUUCAGCACAGCGAGAAAGCUUGCUGAAGAAGAAGGUGUUAAAGGAGUUAUAUCAUUGAAUCAAGAAUAUGAGCUGAAGUACCUUUCACCAACUGCAAUACAAUGGGAUGAUUUGGGUGUAAAGCAACUCAAAAUACCUACGCUAGACUUUGAUGCUGCACCUUCCAUCCAGGAAAUCCAAAAAGGAAUAGACUUUAUCAAUUAUUACAGGGAAAAGAAUCAAAGUGUUUAUAUUCAUUGUAAAGCUGGGAGAGGAAGGAGUGCAUUGCUGGUGACAUGCUACUUAAUUCAGGAACUCCAUGUGCAGUAUGCAGCACAGACAAGCCAAAUGAAAACGAGACCGACCUUGCAUCGAAAUUUAGUAAACAGGAUAUGGAAUCUGAUAGGGUAGAGAACUGCAAGCAGUCGUUGUAUGGCAAUAUACUCGACAUGAAUGAGUGAUGUGACAAUGGACAGGUCCAGGGCUGCCUCGUUUAUUGUCUCAAGACAAAUGGGAUGAGCCCGGACGAAGCGUUCAGUUUCAUCAAGUCAAAAAGAAAUCACGUAUUAGUCUGGGAAAACCAACGAAAGAGGAUACAGGAAUUUGCAGCUUUAAUGAAUGGAUGAACAUUUUUGAAAGCGCAUCGCAUUCUAUUGCUUUAAGCCUUCUCUUACCGGUCUGUUAGAAUUAGAAUUAGAACGAUGUGAAUCAUUUGUAGGAAAUUUGUUUUCAUUUCAGAA